UUCUAUUUUCUCUGAGAAGGUGGAGACUGCCAACCCAUUUUUCUCUUGAAGCCCUCAUCGGCAUCACUUUAACAUCCUGAUUUCUACCAAAAAGCCCUUUCGUGGAAGUGCAGACUUUUGCUCAUGUGCACCUGAGACCCCCCUCCAGCCUCUAUCCACCUCCCAGUUCCAAAGCCUCUUCCUCAUGUCUAGUACCUGUUACAGCAAAAACUAACAUCCCCCCUCGGCAUCCAAAUCAAGUAUGCUUGGGCUGUUGAGAAGAAGCAUCAGGAGGGCAGAGACCUUCCUGUGGGUGCUUCACUGAUGGGUCCUUGGCAUUUAGAGUCUGUGAGGCACAUGGCAGGUGCCACGUAGGUAUUUGUCAAGGUGAAGGAAUGAGUUGCUGCCCAUUGUGUGUGUGUUUGUGUAAUAAAAUAAAGAAUAUGGAGUUCCCGUUGUGGCGCAGUGGUUAACGAAUCUGACUAGGUUCCAUGAGGUUGCGGGUUCGGUCCCUGCCCUUGCUCAGUGGGUUAAGGAUCCGGUGUUGCCGUGAGCUGUGGUGUAGGCCGGUGGCUACAGCUCCGAUUAGACCCCUAGCCUGGGAACCUCCAUAUGCCGCAGGAGCGGCCCAAGAAAUGGCAAAAAAGACAAAAAAAAAAAAAAAAAAAAAAAAAAAAAAGAAAAAGAAAAGAAUAUUAUUUAAUACGUUUUUUCUGAUAGGAAAACCUUGUCACAGCUGCUUUAAAUCUAAUGCUUUUCUUCUUCUCUUCCGCUCCCCCUGCUCCUCCUCCUUUUUCAUGAUAUUAAAUAUUCCUCUUUCCCCAUGUUUUAAAGUUUUAUUGCAGUAUAUUGAUUUACAAUGUUGUGAUAUUUUCUGCUGUACAACAGUGAUUCAGGUACACAUACACACACAUCCAUUCUUUUUCAGAUUCUUUUCCCAUAUAGAUUAUCUCAGCAUAUUGGGUAGAGUUUUCUGUGCUGUACAGCAGGGUCUCAUUGGCCAUUUGUUUCAGAGACCACAGUGUGCAUAUGCCAGACCCAGACCCCCCGUCCAUCCCUCCCCCUCAUCCCCUUUGGUAGUCGUAAGUUUGUUUUCAAAGUCCUAACAGACAUUUCUUCUGAGUAUGUGUUUGGUUUUAUGUUCCUGAAAUGCUCCCCUUGAUAAAACAGAUAUUCCUGUUUCUCUCAUUUCUUAUGUCCCCAAACGGUAAUGAGUCAGAGGUGUGACCCAGCCCAGAUAACACUCAAAUCCUAGAAAAGCUUCCCCCUGCAGGUGGCAGAUAGCGUUCCCCAGGUGGGAAUCCUUAUGGCUAUGGACCUUUAGUUGAAGCAUAAUAAUAAAUGGGUAGGAAGAUCCCGUGUCAUGAAGCAGCUUCUGUAGUCAGCACGGUGUGCUUAGGGCUCACUUCCAAGUGCUAGUGAAGCCACCCUCAGCCCCAGCUUUCGGGCAGAGUCUUCCCCCACCCCUCAGGCCUGCCUGCACCCCCUCCCUCCCACACUCCAUGGGUGGAUGGUGACAGCCACACACGCUCCAGGCUUUGGCAGGUCCAGGUGGGAGAGUCUGUUUUUACAGGUGCACCCCGCAGCCCAGAGUUGAAAUCUGGCUCAGAGUGUGUCGCUGAAGAGAAAAGCUAACAUUUCUUUUGGAAUGAAUAAAAAUAUGCCCCCCAAAUAUUGAAACAGAUCAUAGGGCAUUUGACAAUUGUGGAACCAAGGAUGUUCCUGCCUUCUGUUGUCACAUGGAAAGUUUCUUCCUGCUCAGCGGCAUAAGGGCUUGGCCUCUCCUGACAUCACCUGCCACAUGCUUGAGGGAAAGGGAGCUGGUCUCCUUGGCUGGGAGGGAGCCCACUCUCAGCUGCUGCAGGUCACCUGGGAGUCCUGCGAGUUCCAGGGUUUCGGUGCCUUCUCCCACACAGCGAACACGUCAACCUGAAUGCCUGUUCUCUUGAUGGAAUGUUUUUGAAUAUUCCUCCCUUGGGAUUGAAGGCAAAACUCCUAUACCUUUCACCUGGGUGGUAUUCCUGGCCCCAGCGUGUGCGGGAGCCACUUGGUGAAGUAGGCUUUGGGAGUUGGGACUCUGAAGGCCAGAAAAGCCUCUCUUUCUGAUGGGAACAGAUAACAUGAUGUAAUUCCCUGGCAUCCCAAACAGAACAGGCUGUACUGCUUUAGAAAUAGCACCCACCUCUUAAUCAGUUAUUUUGGGGUCUGUGCAUCCUGAGCUGUCACCAGGAAAACUCCCGAACUUCAGGGGUGACUGAAGGUGUCCGGAGAGAGAGCGUCAGCCUGCAUUCUCAGUGCACAGGGUCAGGGGGCAGGGAUGUACCCGGAGGUCUGGGUGGCCCGGCAGGGGCUCUAAAUAGCAACCGGCCAAGCUCGUGCUCUGUUCCGUGAAUGUGCUUUGUCCUUUCUAAUCAGCUCCAAAGAGGAUGAGGCAUGUUCUUCAUGGAGGUGAAUUCCAGGCCAUUCUGGAGACAAGCCCAUGGGAAUUUUUAUGGUAACAUCCAAGUUGUCCAACAGGGAAUGCAAAGAGAGAUGACUCUUUCUGCAGACGCCCUGCUGGCCACUGGUCUUGCCCCAAAUAUCUAAUUCUUUUCUUUACUCUUAUUCUUUUUUCUCUUCUCUUCUUUUUUGUCUUUUGUCUUUUUAGGGCCGCAAUCUGUGGCAUAUGGAGGUUCCCAGGCUACGGGUCCAAUCAGAGCUGUUGCUGCCCGGCCUACGCCACAGCCACAGCAACGCCAGAUCUGAGCCAUGUCUGCAACCUACACCACAGCUCAUGGCAACGCUGGAUCCUUAACCCACUGAGCGAGACCAGGGAUCGAACCUGCAACCUCAUGGUUCCUAGUCGGAUUCGUUUCCACUACACCACGAUGGGAACUCCCUUUUCUUUUCUUUUCUUCUUAGGGCCACACCCACAGCAUAUGGAAGUUCUCAGGCUAGGGGUCAAAUUGGAGCUACAGGUGCCAGCCUACACUACAGCCACAGCAAUGCCAGAUCUGAACCAUGUCUGUGACCUACACCACAGCUCGUGGCAACUCCGGAUUCUUAACCUACUAAGUGGGGCCAGGGAUCGAACCCGCAUCCUCGUGAACAUUAGUCAGAUUCUUAACCCUCUGAGCCACAACAGGAGCUCCAAAGGACAGCCCUUCUGCCUUGACCUCUGGACGAGCCAUCCUGCUGGCUUUCCACAUGGGGUUCAGGAGGUGUGGUUUGCAGUUGCUUCUUGGAGGUAUUAUGUCCCAGCCUUCAGGGACUAAAACUAUAGGAUUAGAAUAAUGUGGGUCUUGAAACUGAGCUGGGAGCCAGCAGGCUUGAAGGAGAGUGGUAGGCGCCGGGAGAGAAGACUGGGACUCUGCUGGGUGGCUUUGCGACAUGCUCGGCAUUGUCUACUAUAGGUGGGAAACGCCUCUCUUUCCCAAAGGUCAGCUGGGGAGCAGGUGCUGACCCAGGCACUUCGCUCAGUUUCACAGCAGCCCUUCCUGCCAACCUCACACUAUCAAAGGAGAUGAUAUGAAAGGACAAGGGAAGCCUAAUAAGGCAGUAGCCACAUGUGCAUGGAUGUGCUGUUGUCACUUAUUUCAUUAGUUGAGUUUAGGAUUAUUCUCUCCCUACUUUGCCACUGCCUUCCUGGCUUAUUGGCAAAACUCUUCUUUUCCUUAUUUGAAAGUACGUAUAACCAUGCAUGCUCCAUCUUACUCAAAAGAGUAGCCACUGUGAACCUCAAACUGCUCUUAAAAAAAUGUCUACUAAAAAGGAAUAUCCACUUAAUAUUAGCUCUAUUCAUUCAUUUCUUUCUUAAUUCACUCAUUCAUCAAAUUUGCUUGUGGUAUGGCAGUUCCUGAAGAUGACAGGACCCUAGGAAAUGUUAUUAUUCAAUGGAGAGGAAUAGAAAAAUAAUUGUAGUUGUGAGCAGCAUUUUAGUGGAAUUGUGAGCAAAAUCCUAUGGGACACACAAGACUUAUACACAAAUGUUCACAGCAACAUUAGUCGUAAUAGUCAAUUAGCUAUUUGCAAGAAAUUUAUGUUGGGAGAGGGCCAGGGCCAUAAUUAAGUUAGGAAGAAAUCUCCUCUGAAAGGUUUUAUGGAUGAGAGACAAUUUUUAGCUGUCAAAUUUUAGUUUCUCCACCUAUAGAGAUUGGCAGCUGCAGGGCUGCACACAAGGAAAUUUCUCUCCUUCCACUGACUCACCAACACACUAAAUGAUGACUUUUUCAUUAUUACUGAGUACCUGAAUCAUCCAAUUGCUCAGUUUUCUGGAACUCUGAUUACAUGACACUUCCAUUUAGAAUAGUGACGCUCCACAAUAAAGGGCUACAGUUGCUCACAGGGGCCACCUUCAUAACCACUGUUAUGGAAUUCCGUAACCUCAACUUCCUUCUUCAAUCCAGUUUAAAGAUGAGGACCUGGAGGGAGUUCCCAUUGUGGCUCAGCAUUAAUGAACCCUACUGGUAUCCAUGAGGUUGCAGGUUUAAUCUCUGGCCCCACUCAGUGGGUUAAGGAUCUGGCAUUGCCAUCACCUGUGGUGUAGAUUGAAGAUGAGGCUCAGAUCUGGUGUUGCUAUGGCUGUGGUGUAGGCCUGUGGCUGUAGCUCCGAUUUGGCCCCUAGCCUGGGAACCUCCAUAUGCCACAGGUGUGGCC
rnacentral:lncRNA from 1 species